AGGCGCUUUUAUGGUUUAUUUUCUGCUUCUGUAAAUAAAAUCCCCAACAGACACCGUCCAGCAGACGGGCGUGGCCAGGGCGUACGCGUCCCGGUUUUCGUUUCCAGGCAGCGCCUCGGGAUUCACGAUGUGAAUCAUGCUGCUGUUUGACAUGUAAACAGCAGUAAAAGCCGCUCUCUUUCUAAACACUGGGAGUUUAAAAGUGGCUGAACCUGAUGGGCCAGUGCACCGGGAUCCCCCGCAGGGGUCCGCCUUUUGGAGGAUCUUUGCCACCGGGAGCAGCUUCCUGGGAAACCCCCGCGGGGAGCCGCGUGUGACCCGGGAUGGGCGGAGAGGGAUUCACCUGUCCUGUGCCUUGGCCAUGCCCCAGCAAGCCCCGAUGCCGGGAUGUGUCGUAAUUUUAGAGUUCGCUAAUGAGCUUGCCUGUACGCCCUGCGCACCCUGUGUGCCUGGGGAUUGGCAGUUCAGGCUGGUAAUCCUGCUAACCUGGCCUUGGCAGGCGGGGAUGGCUCCUUUCAGUGUUCUGGGAUUGAGAUCUGGCUUCUUGCUGUGCACAGGGAAUGGCCGUGGAUGAGUAAAAUGAGGGAGAAAAUGAUCUUUGCUAACCCUUUUCCAUUCUGCCUUGGUGGUGCUUGUCUGCAUGCUUCCCUCUGCUAGCUCAGGUGGAUCCAACGUUUGCUGGGUAAGUAGUGAGUGAUAAAACUUUAAACUUCCAGUAAGCAGCACCUCUCUGAUAGUUAUUUAAAGCCUCUGUCUGCAUUGUUCCAGAGCCAUUUCCUUUUUCCUCUAAGCAACCUAGAGUGGGAAGCUGACAAUCCCUCAGGUAGCCUGGUUCCACCUCGCUGGAAGCCAGGCCUGAUGCUGGGUUGGAGGCCAGCAGAGCCCACAGAGGGUGAGAGAAGGGCUCCUCCUUCCUGCCUUUUGUGGAGCUGGCCAAAGAUAACACUCCUGGGCUGGUCCCGGGCAGCACAGACCUUUUUCUCUUUACUCACAUAUUCCACUUUCAGGUCAGAAGAUUGGCAUUGAUGAGGCUGUAAAAUAGAUGUGCUUGCUGGAGACAUCCUUCUUUACCCUUUGAAGUGCUCAGAAGCAUUCCCACUGAUUUCAGUGGAAAAGCUCCUUUGUCUGAUGUGCUUUUCCGCGUGCCAAUCAGUAUUUUGCGCUGACUGGAAGGGAAGAGGCAAGGCACUGCUUUAUGAUGAAUGUUUUUAGACUUGGCCAUUUUAAAGAGUACAUGCAAUUUUCAGAUCAGUAAUUUGUAAUUGUUUGUCAGUUUGUUUUUAAGAACAGAUCCAGCAUCUUAGAUAUGGCUAUGGCUAAAAAUGAACAUAAAAAUACCCAGUUAUGACUGAAAAUUUUGCACUGUGAAAGCAAGAGUUAUUCCUGCAGUAGCAAAUACAGCCUGCAGAGCAACAGAAACGAGCUGUAAGCAAGAUGUUGAAAUCAAAUUGUAGGCCAGGUUUUCUGCCAGUGUCCUUCACAGUGCCAGUGGCGACCUGGAGUCCAGCAUUAUGUGAACACUUGCAUUUGGAGCCCAUCUCAGUCAUGCAGGGAAUCACUUUCCAAAAGCAGUUUUCCUGCCAACAGGGUUUGUUUGCUUGGUGAUAAGAAACAAUGGUCAACUCAGUUUGUUACUUGAGCAUUUUAGUGACUGAGGAGUCUGGCAUCCUGUACUAGAUCCAUUUUCUUAGCUACUCAAAUGCCAGCUUGGCAGCCUAUCUAGGAAGCUGAUAGCACUGGGACAGGCGUGAUUGUGGAGGUUGUUUUCAACAGUUUCUAGUAAGUCUGUUUUUAAGACACCUCUUUCCUUUUUUUUCUUUCCUGGGGAAAAAAAAUCAUAGUUACCACCUUCUUGAUUGGGAGGUCUGGAUGAGAGAGAGGAGGGAGGCAUGGGCAUGCAGCUUAAUAUCCUACUUUUCAAAGUGCCUUAAAAACAGGACUGGGUUUAGUUUUGAGUAAGGCUGGUAUUUAUUCACUAGAAUGGUGUUGGCUAUAGUUAAGAGGAGGGAAGCGCAUUUCAUAGAGGACCUAACUCCCCUUGUGUUGGCAGAGAAACAACAAGAAAAAAUGUGAAUUUUCCAGUUACAGAUGAGGCAUCCAAUCUUUUCUGCUAAAGAAAGCAUAGUUAUACCCCAUUUUUUGAGCUUUUUGGCCUCUGGGGUUGACAUGUGCUCAAGCACCCAUUCAUUUCCCUCACAGGCCUUUCGAGUUGCCAGGAAUAGCUGGGAAGCUGUUUGCCAAAACCCUUCCAUCUGGGAAAAGCACCGUGCAUUUGCAGUGGGACUGUGCUGAGUCAGUGCAUUAUCUUGGUGCCAUUCCAUGGGGCUGAAGAAGUCAGAACAAGACUGUCCUUGUGCCCAGGUCUCAAGUUGUGUCCCCAUGGCAUGAAGCUUCCCAGAGUCCUGAGGCUCGAUGUUGGGAUGAAACCCAGUGUUACUUGAGAAACCUUAAACAUGGUAUCCAUGGAGAGGACAACGCGCUCUAGGUUGCACAUCCUUAUUUUACUGAUGUCACAAACAAGUUAUUCUUGUGCACUGCAGAGAGCCACAAAACCAGCAAUAAUUUUAUAAAUGAUAAGCUUGUUUUCCUUCUCCUGUUCCCAGAUACUCCGAGUGCAGCAGACAGCUGAGAUGUGCAUUGUUGGAAUCCAGAGGGUUUUGUAAUUUGGCAACCGCUCGCUGAAAGCCCUGCAGAUACAAAACAACACUUAUUUCAAGUCUUGAGAAACAUCUCCUACUAAGUAGAAGAAAAAAGCAUUUAGUGGGAUCCUCAAGCUGUAUGCAAAAUGCAAGGAGACGUGCCUGGAAAUGCAUUAUCCAAGGGACACAGAAACAGCUUUUUGACAGGCUGCUCUUCCUGCUAACACCUGGUAAAUGCAGAGACCUGGCUCCAUGCAGCAGAGCUUGCAGCAGUGACAAGCUGUUAUCCCAAGGAAAACUGCUUGUGCCUGUGGCCUGGGUUAACCUGCUGGCAGUGAUACGUGCCUGGGCAGGGGCAGCUGUUUCACACAGCUCAGCAUGGACGUGUUGCCACUCCCAGCCACUUUUAGGACACAGGUGAGUUGUUUACAGCAAUCUCAAAAAAACUUGUAAUAAAAUUCUGCCUUCCUGGAGCCACCACUCCCAGAGACCUUUCCCCUUUCUUGGCUACUGCGGGAGCCUCCUUCCUUUGGCUUCACACUUUUAUCAGCUAAAAAUGAUAGCAGUUAAGAAAUGGUUGUGGUCAAGCUCUGUCUCAGAAGGAGGGGCUACACUGCCGCUCUGUUGUGGCUGCUGAGAACGGGAAGAUCAGAGAGGACGAUGGGGAAGUGGAAGCCUGCUCCCUCUUUUAUGUGGAAUGGAGUCAGAAUAUUCCCUCGUAUGAAGUUCAGCAGAGAAAAACUUGGGCUGCACUCGCAUUCCUACCCACCGUGCCAUUCCAGUCAGCCUGGUACUAAUCUCCACGGAUCUCUGAAGGCAUGAAACAACAUGCAGUGUAAAUGAAAUCUGAGCCACACCACAGUACCGGUGCCAGCCAGUUUUAGAAGGCUGCCAUGAGAGCCAAGGGAAACAGGUACAAUGGUAGACAAUGCCUUGUACCACCUGCAGGCACAGACCUACAGCACUCCAGCAGCUCGUGAGGCAUGUGAAAAGCUGGCGAACCCAGGGCCACUUAGACUUGAAUGCACUUUCCUGGGGAGGAAGUGGCUUUUCCCUUGGAAAGCUCAACUCCCCAGGGUCUGCAUGAGGUCAAUGGAAAAAGUGAUUUCUUCAGAAUAUGAUUCAGAGUGCCUAAGCACAGGGCUUAUCUUAUUGACUACAGAGGAAGCUCAACCUCUGUAGAUUUAAAUCCACUUUUGAGAAUUCUCAUCCCCUCUUGCCCCUUAGUUGUGGGAGUUAUACUAGACCUGGGUGUCGUUAGUCCUUGGAAGGCACACUACCUACUGAAAUUCAGGUGCUGCAGACCAAAGCUAAGAGAAGCUUGUCUAGAAGAGCACAGAGUGCCCUAUUGGAUCUUGCUUUGUCCUUUUGAGUUACCCUGGGAUGUCAGAAAUGGAUUUGCAAGUACCUGAAAGGGAAAUUAAAACAAGAAAGGUUAGUUUCUUCAUGGCUGUCCUGACUGGAGCUGGAAUAAUCAGCAUCUGUUUCAGUUUUACUGAGUUUUCAUUCUGGCCUUUCUCCCCUUUCAAAGUACAGGCAACUGAAGCCUUUAAUUUGCCCUGCCUUUCACUGCAGAAAAAAAUAGGAGUUUCUAACAGCUGUUACUAUCCUGUCUAGAAUAGCUAUAUUAAAAAAAUACAGUUUAUUGUCUGUUGUGAAUGAAAAAGCUCUUGCUUGUUUCUGUUGUUUGUCAUGUUGACUUUGAAAGAUAAAUUGUUUGAACUUGUUGACUCUCUGUUUGUAUAACUGAAGAUUUGCUUGCUUGAUAGCCUGCUGGAUUUUCAGUUUUCCCUUGCACUAAAGAAACUGAAGAACUGCUGGCCUUGGGGCAGUUAGGACACAGCACAUACUGGAAAAAGUCUGUAUGCAUUCAAAUAAAUAAGAAAAUAACUUAAUGCAUGAUAUUCUGGAUGUGCUGCUUCAGUCCUGAUAUGUCAUGUGUUUAUACUUGGAAGAGCUCUUGUAAGACCUAUGAAGCCUGUUUAAAAAAAUUGCUAACAGACAUGGAUAGGUGGCUAAUGAGUUGAAAGUAGAAGUUGGCAGGACUAGAAUUAGUUUUUACAUGGUAGUUCUAAAAUCCUAAAUUGUGCUGCUUGUUUUUGAGAACAUAGGUACUCUGUCCUUUUAUCAUACAUUUGCUUUGUAAAAACAAUCGGAGAAAAAAGCAAAAAUAAUUUAUUGUCACUCAAGUAAGCAGACCUGGCUCUUGAAUAUACAAAAGGAAGUGACAGUAAAAAUAGCACCAUCUUACUGUACUGUAGUCCUUCAACAGAGAAGCACAUUUUGAGGUUCCCCUUCUUUGCAUCCUUCUUUGUAUUGCAAAGGCAUCCUGGCCCAGGCAGAAGCUUUUGCUCUGGGGGGUCAGAGUCUGAUUUCAAUGGGACAGAGCUUGGUGUGCCAGUGCAUUGAGUAUCAGCUUCUAGACAUUCACAAGGGCUCUGACUCUCCAUGUGCAUCCUCCAGGUUUGGUUUCUGUGCCUUCCUCUCUCCCUCUCUCCCCUCUCUCCCCUUCUGCCAAGUGGUCCAACCUUCCCAGUUUUUGCCUACUCAUAAUCAAGGCAGUGGAGCCAAGGUGCUAUUCGAGGGGAAGACAGAAAAGAAUGACAAAGGCAUAUACUAUUUCCAUGAUGGGUAUGGUGCUCAUAAAAUUUGGUGGGAUUUGUUGUGCCAUCAGCCUUCAAAACAUGCUUCUCACCCCCAGAAUAACUAAACCCCUUGCAACCUUUGGCCAAGAGACAGAAGCCAAACUUCUGGUAAACUGACAAUUCAAGGGAAAGGAAUGAAAGGAAAGUCUGGAUAGAUUGAGGUGUAGAUGAGAGGAAGGUAAAACCUAGUAUGAAAUUUUGAGAUUUGAGACAUGAUAGUGGGAGAUUGAGAUACAGAAAGAAAAAAAAGAACAGCUGGGAAUUAGAGUUUUAUGUUGAGACUGGUUGGCAAGGAACGGGCAGACAGAAGACACAACAGAACUUCAGUACAAGGAAAGAAGAAUGAAGAGAGUGGAAAGUCAGGUGGAUAGGCAGUGACAUGAAGAACCAGACAAGAGACUGGACUAGGACCUGGCAUGGGGAACCAAAGUUAGAGGCCCUGUUGGAGAUUAAGAAAGGAGGGACAAGCUGGGGAAGGAACAAGUGGAGAGUGGGGGUGGGCACAGGGUAGCAGGGGAGAGCUGUGGGAAGCAGCCCCACAUGGGGCAGAGCAGAGGGGUAUGUGGGUGGAAAGGGGCACAAUGGGCUGUGCUUGCUGGGACAUCCUGACUUGCAGGGCUGGAAGCAGAACAGAGCUUCCCUGAGGCUGGUCUACAUGUUGGCUCAGCCAGCAAAGAAUUUGCCUCUUGUGCUGUCUGCCCCAGCAGCAGAAAUGACUGGAGCUGAGUGUCCUUGGCCGAGGCAGCAGCAGCUGCCUGCCUGGGGGAGGAGAGCAGGCUUUUGGGUAGUUGGAUGACAAAAAUUUUACAGUUGGGAGGAGGUAGUGAAAAGGCCACAUGACCAAGGGAGAAAGGGUCAAUUCAUUAGUCUGGCAGCCACUAAAUUAAGAAAAGGCAAGUGGGACUAUAUAUCAGAGGUAUUUGAAUUCGGUCAAAAAUGCUUCUGAAGUUGCUAGAUUGAUCUUGUGGUUGGCUUAAGCAAGCUUAACUAAUUAAUUGCUUUAUUUUAGUUCAUUGUGUAAGAGCUAGCUCCUAAUAAAUCACAGUGUUUUGUAGAAACAUGCUUGAAACAACUGUGUAAAUACUAAAUAGCCUUAGGAAUGGUCUUAUGAAUCCACUGAAUAAUCCAAAUUUCAACACUCAUCCCUCUCUGCUGCUGGUCUGGAUGGAGGAUAACAGUCCACUUCGGCUUCUCUGUCAGUAAAAGGGGCAGAAGUCUGCUGGACACACAAGGGUGGGGACACACAGCUUGUGGCCCAUGGAGGUGCUGUGAUGCUGCAUGAUCCUGCACCAACAGCUGUCCUUUUCAGGAGCACAGGAAAUGCUGUAGGUGUUACAGGAACAUUAUGAAUGUUGCAAAGCCAAGCCUUUAAAAGUUAGGCAAUGUCCAAAUGAAAUUGCCAGUGAAACCUUAAUUCAGAACCAUGUAGGUUAUGAAAUGCCCUUUAAUUAUAUUUCUCCUCUGUCUUGUUUCAGUGUGGAUGGCAGUAAUUCAUGGUCCCUGUACAGUCCUGUGGGGUUUCUGGGACAACAAAGACCGAGGAACCUCUGACUUGCUCUCUGUGGAUCUGUCUUAAGGAGAGGUAGCCACAGUACCAGUUUUGAACCAAGGUUCAAAAUACAGGCCUGUCAGCAGUCUCCUGAUCCUGAGAGACCCUUCACUAAUACUUGUAAGGAUUGUGUACUCUUAUAUUCACCUUCUGCUCUGGGACAGUUUGUGCCAAUGAGAUCUGGGGACAAACAUUGCUGAUGGAGACUGGGAGUAGGUUGGAGCUGAGCUUUCCAGCAUCCAGUAGGAGGGUAUAAAAUUAACUACUCCAUUUGGGCAGAUUAAAAACAAAUCUUUCAUGCAUGAAUUCUGCCUUUGCGAAAAUGUCUGUUAGUUCUGAUUGUUGGCACAAGUAUUACCAUAGUAUCAGUCUAAUCUCAUAUGACAUAUUUAAGGAUUUGCAGCAGAAGGGUGGAGUUACCAGUGCAAAUUUCUUGGCUGAUUUAUCUCUGGUGACAAUUGUCCUGCUCUGCUUUAUAUCAGCUUUUCAGAACAAAUCAAGGGGUUUUGAGUAUAAAGCAACAUUUCUUUAGAUUUCAAAUAAUAUUUUUUUAAAAGCAAAGCGAGUAGAAACAGAAGUAGAGACUCUAACAGAACCAGAGUACAUGUAGUAUGUAUCCCUUGUAAAUAUUUCAGUGCUAAGGCAACUAAGCAGUGACACUUUGCACACAAAGGGCCUGAGAAAUGUAAAGGUACACGGCCAACAAAACAUUCGGAUCCUCCCUGCAACACUAGAGUCUUUUAGUGCAAAUGACUGUGUUCAAUUAAGUCACACAAGGAACAUUUCUUCAGGCUCAAGACAAAGUGUGUACUUGCAUGUCUUAGAGAGGAUCCUGCACUGUCCACAAUGAAGUUUUACUGAUUUAUAACAGCAAAUAAACAUCCUGUCAUUUUAAGAAAUAUCACCACUAGGAAAUGUCAACUGCUUUCUGUCUUGUGAUCCAAUAUGCCAAAAAUCUGAUUCUGCUUUUAAUGCUGUCCAGCAUUUACUAGUAAAAGCCCACAUAACCACAU